rnacentral:rRNA from 1 species
AAUUACCCACUCCCGGCACGGGGAGGUAGUGWCAAAAAAUWACGAUACGGGACUCUUAUGAGGCCCCGUAAUCGGAAUGAGUACACUUUAAAUCCUUUAACAAGGAUCCAUUGAAGGGCAAGUCUGGUGCCAGCAGCCGCGGUAAUUCCAGCUUCAAUAGCGUAUAUUAAAGUUGUUGCGGUUAAAAAGCUCGUAGUUGGUUCUGCGUGCCACGCUGUCGGUUCGCCGCCUGCCGGUGUAACUGGCAUGCCGUGKCAUGUCCUGUCGGUGGCGUUCGGGAGCCUCGUCUAGGCGCUGGCCCUUGCCAAAAGCUUGGUGCUCGGAGGCCGGGGGUAUACCCGUUCGCCUACUCUAUCCUACCUAGGUGCUCUUCACCGAGUGUCGAGGUAGGCCGACACGUUUACUUUGAACAAAUUAGAGUGCUCAAAGCAGGCUGAAAUCUCUGCCUGAAUAGUGRUGCAUGGAAUAAUAAAACAGGACCUUGGUUCUAUUUUGUUGGUUCUUAGGAACACAAGGUAAWGAUCAAUACGGACAGGCGGGGGCAUUCGUAUUGCGACGUUAGAGG